ACUCAAAUGAAUUGACGGGGGCCCGCACAAGCAGUGGAGUAUGUGGUUUAAUUCGACGCAACGCGAAGAACCUUACCAGGGAUUGACAUCCCCCGGAUGGCGCGGAAACGCGCAGGCCCUUCGGGGACGGGGAGACAGGUGGUGCAUGGUUGUCGUCAGCUCGUGUCGUGAGAUGUUGGGUUAAGUCCCGCAACGAGCGCAACCCCUGUUGCCAGUUGCCAGCAUUCAGUUGGGCACUCUGGCGAGACUGCCGUUGACAAAACGGAGGAAGGUGGGGACGACGUCAAAUCAUCAUGCCCCUUAUAUCCUGGGCUACACACGUACUACAAUGGCCGUAGACAGAGGGUUGCGAAGCCGCGAGGCGGAGCGAAUCCCCAAAAGCGGUCCCAGUUCGGAUUGCAGGCUGCAACCCGCCUGCAUGAAGUCGGAAUUGCUAGUAAUGGCAGGUCAGCAUACUGCCGUGAAUACGUUCCCGGGCCUUGUACACACCGCCCGU
rnacentral:rRNA from 1 species